rnacentral:rRNA from 1 species
UACGUAGGGUCCAAGCGUUAUCCGGAAUCACUGGGCGUAAAGCGUGUGUAGGUGGAAGUUCGCGUGCAAUGCGAAAUCGUGUGGCUCAACCAUAUCGACGGUAUUGCAUACGGGACAUCUAGAGGACGGCGGAGGCAAGUGGAAUUGGUAGUGUAGCAGUGAAAUCCGUAGAUAUCGAAAGGAACACCAAUGGCGAAGGCAGCGUACUGGGUCUUACCUGACACUGAGAUGCGAAAGCGUGGGGGAGCAAACAGG